UGGAGUUGGAGGAGAACGAAUUGGGGGAGAACGCAAGGGUUCAACCGCAAAAGGUAAGAAUUAGAAAGUUUUGGUUCUAAUUCUUACCUUUUGCGGUUGAACCCUUGCGUUCUCCCCCAAUUCGUUCUCCUCCAACUCCAC
rnacentral:pre_miRNA from 1 species